rnacentral:rRNA from 1 species
UGGGGAAUUUUGGACAAUGGGGGAAACCCUGAUCCAGCCAUCCCGCGUGUGCGAUGAAGGCCUUCGGGUUGUAAAGCACUUUUGGCAGGAAAGAAACGUCAUGGGUUAAUACCCCGUGAAACUGACGGUACCUGCAGAAUAAGCACCGGCUAACUACGUGCCAGCAGCCGCGGUAAUACGUAGGGUGCAAGCGUUAAUCGGAAUUACUGGGCGUAAAGCGUGCGCAGGCGGUUCGGAAAGAAAGAUGUGAAAUCCCAGAGCUCAACUUUGGAACUGCAUUUUUAACUACCGGGCUAGAGUGUGUCAGAGGGAGGUGGAAUUCAGCGUGUAGCAGUGAAAUGCGUAGAUAUGCGGAGGAACACCGAUAGCGAAGGCAGCCUCCUGGGAUAACACUGACGCUCAUGCACGAAAGCGUGGGGAGCAAACAGG